CGUCCCGGAGCCGGCCGGCGGGCGGUGGGAGUGGAGUGUGAGUGGGGAAAUCCAGGAGAGGCGGCUUCCGCGUCACCCCACCCCGUGUCCUGGGACUGAGCUUUUGCAGGGGCGGGGGUGGGGUGGCGUCUCUACUGGUCUGAGAUGUCGGCCGUCCGAGAAAGCGGCGAGGUGAGCGAGUGUGCGUGGAGCCACCUGUGUGGUGACCGCGCUGGCGGCGUCUGCAGUCCUGGAGACCAUACCCACCAGGGUUCCAGUCAAGUGGCACUGAAGGAUAGCCAGUGGAGGAAGAGACCAUCUCUCAGGGGCACUGCCCUCUUGCUGCACCAUUGCCCUCAGCCCCUCCUCACCACCUCUGUUCAAAAAUAACGCUGCCCAGGCCAGCUGAAGGCUCUGAUCACACAAGUGCAGACUCUCUGCACUGGUGCAGGUUCUCCCUCCUCUGGAGGGGGAUGCAGGGACAGCGCCACCCCCUUCCUCCAUCGGAGAGCUUGACAGAGGUCCUGGGCACUGGCUCCUGCUUCCUCACCCGCAGAGGCAGCCGCUGGUGACCUGCUGAAGGCUGGGGUCAAGCCAGAGAGAGGUUGCCUGCAGAGCACUGUCACAGCGUUGGCCAGGAGGACGGACGUGAGCACUUGGUCAGAAGCCUGGUGGCAGUCUGGAUACCCUCCCUGGGUCUCUACACGCAAGACUCACCUCCAAAGGAGAGCCCUGUGCUUCCACCUCUGCCAGUGGUGGCCGACUGGAGCGUGGGGGCCUGGCCGGCCACCCCGAAGAUGCUGUGAUACGGGGAGAAAAGUCGGCAUGGGCAUCAUCCAGCACCAAGGAGGAACAACACGAUGCAGAGUUGGCAGGCUUCUUCUCUAAGAGGGAUGCCCGAGGACUUCUGGAGACCACCUAGGACGCUGACCCAGCCCUUGCCCUGGGGGCCCUCUCGGGGAAAGGUUAUGUCCAUUCUCAUGUUUUCUAGGACUCGGGUCUCCAUUAC